UCAAAUAUGGUAACCCGCACAUCGCUUUACAAAAUUAUUUUCUCUUUCGUCGCUGUUUCAGUCGUUUAUAUAUACUUUCUGAACUCUAAAAGCGAUGGCUCAACAAAUGAACGUAGAAGAGGUAUCCGUACUGGCUUAGCCGAUGGUCUACAAAUCGCUACAUUUGGUGCCAACUGAUUUUGGGGUCCGGACUCGCGUUAUGGCGGAAUUCGCGGAGUUCAGCAGACCCAAGUUGGAUACACUGGAGGAACAACCGUCAAUCCAAUAUAUACGAAUCUAGGUGACCACACGGAAAGUAUAAAGAUUUAUUAUGACCCUUCGAUAGUCUCGUACAGACAUUUACUCAAGGUUUUCUGGUCAAUCCAUGACCCGACAGAGGUACAAACACGACAGUACCGGUCAGUGAUAUUUGUCCACAAUGAAAGUCAACGCAGACAAGCAAUUGAGUCUCUUGAAAAUGCUCGGAGGAGAAUCAAAGGCAAAGUCAGGACAGUGGUGGAAGGCGCAUCGCGGUUUUAUGAAGCUGAAGGGUAUCACCAGAAGUAUCGACUGCGACAAAACAAGACAAUGAUGCCACUUCUACAGAAUCUAUCAGAUAGAGAAUUAAUGAACUCUUUUGUAGCAGCUAGACUUAAUGCACUUGCCAACGGAGAUGCAGAGGCUGCGCAAGUUAAGGUUGACUUGGAUGAUUAUUUUGCAAGUACCCCAGAUGCUAAAGAAAAUGCCGAUGAAAUUCUACAAAUGAUAUCACAUUUAUAACCUCAAGAAGCAGACACAUUUAGAGUGAUUCUGCUUUUAAAUCUAUUGUAUAUCAAUUUUGAUGUAACUUAUUUUCAAAGCAAUUUUGCUGUAUUAAGGGCAUUGUGUUAUGAUGGUGUCAAACUCAAUUGAAAAAGGUUUGACAUCUGAUGAGUUCACAAGACCUUUAUGUCAGCAAAACAUGGUAUUAUUGCACAGUUUGAAAAACUCAUGCAAUGUGUUCUUGUUUGGAUUUUAAUAAAGUAAUAUUUUUCUUUG